GAGGUUCUGGCGGGUCUUGGCACUGGAAGAAUUCACAGAUGUGCGGUUGUGUGUAAUCGUGGAUCUUGCAAUGCCAUUACCCGCUGGGACUCU
rnacentral:pre_miRNA from 12 species